AGCUUAGUUCUUUGGAGAAGCAGUGUGGAGUCCUAAAAAAGGAGGCUGAGUCUUACCGUUGAGGUCGGUGCCGGUAGAGAAUGGGAGGGAGUCUGCAGGAGCCAAGCACCCUAAAGAAGAGGAAGAGAGCACGUUGCUGAGAUUUGAACAGCGACCUGAGAGGUCAGACUGGACCCAGGCCUCCUCAAGAUACUUCAUGCUGCCUAAUAUUCUACCGAGCCAGCCUAGGGGACUUGGAUCUGUCUCGCCUGGGGCUAAGAGAAUAGUUUCUCUAAGAAGAAAACAGUUCUAAUUCAAAGAUGCUGGAUCUGGCUUCCUUUAAAGCCUGAAGUCGCUGAAGUGGCCAUAGAACUAUGGGGUCCAGAGGACUGCCAGUCUCAGCCAGCCUUUAGGCUGGAGAGAGGCUGUGGGCCUGCUUGGGGACUAAAAUGGAUGAAUAAGAAACCUGUAAGAAAUGUAAACAGAUGGAAUGGCAAGGAGGAGAGCGCUGGAGAUUGUUCAGGAGGAAUUCCACCCGGCUCUGGGGCGUGCGUCCGACAAGCCCCUAGGGGGAGAAAGGAGAAGGGUGAAGGCCGGGCUAGUAGUCGCUGCCCGCUGGGCAGCAUCUGGAGGCCCGUGCGGGAUGCAGGCGAGGGGGAUGGAGCGGCGCCGCUGGAGGAAAUUGGCUUCCCAUGGGACCUGCAACUGUCUGGAAACAAAAAAAGAAGCCUACCAAAAGGGGAAAUUUAAAGGAGAGCAAGAAACCAUGAAGAGAGAGCCGAAAACGCGAAAGUAAAGAGUUGCCCAACUUAUUUAAAAGCAUGCGUAAUUUUGCCCGGGAGUUUCCGCAGCGUACUCUAACUUUUCUCCGCCUGCUUCCUUGGACCCAAUUUUCUUGUUCUUAUUCUGGAAGGUUUUUUUGUUUGUUUGUUUGUUUGUUUUUUGUUUGUUUGUUUUUUAACUUGACUUUACUUUGCCUGGGAACUGCACGUUUGCAUACUCCUGCAGGCUCUCUACCCUUGGCAAUGGACAGAGAAUAGCAUCCGGGCGGGAGGCUUGGCUGGGAAAGAAAGCCCUGGCGUCACCCGCGGGUUCAGUCUAGGCACUCCCCUCAGAGUACCGCAGGAGCAGGCAGAGCCACUGGCCUAUACAACCUCUGGGCUGCUGGCUACUGGGGUGAUCUGGGCCAGCGUGAUCUUAUUGAAUUUACUAAUGACCAGAGAGAUUUCUUAAGCCAAGUCCCCAGAGAACGAAUCCAAAAUGAGUAAAACAGUUGCCACUCCAGGCUCUGGCCAAGGUUGGGAAUCACAGCUCCUUCUCUGGCCUCCUCCAGUUGGAGCACGAGGUGAGCUCACUGGUGGGCUCCGCUCUCGGGGGGGGGGGGGGGGGGGGUUGUGGUCUGCGCUGCAGCAUACUGUUGAAGACACUUCUGGUAUGUUUCUGGAAACAUA
rnacentral:lncRNA from 1 species